GGUUGCGAUCUUACCAGCACUAAUGCACCGGAUCCCAUCAGAACUCCGCAGUUAAGCGUGCUUGGGCGAGAGUAGUACUAGGAUGGGUGACCCCCUGGGAAGUCCUCGUGUUGCAACCCC
rnacentral:rRNA from 1 species